ACAGAAAGAACCGUUCCUCGCCGACUGUGACACCAGGGAAUGAUGUAGCGGAAACGGCCAGCGGCGAAGGCUGCUGCCUGCUCCAGCUCGCUGCGGUGAGGGCGUUUGUGAGCAGAGGGUCUGGGGAGAGCCGAGAGCACGUGUGCCUGUCCCAUGACCUGCGUCCAGGAGCAAAAAUAGGUGCCGCCUGGCCUGGAGGCGUCCGAGCUGCGCGCUGCCGAGGAGGCCCAACGCCAGGCAGAGCUGAGCCUCGAGGGCCCUCCGCCCCGGGGCCGGUUGCGCGGAGCCGGCGCGG
rnacentral:lncRNA from 1 species